AUGCACCUCAGGGAUUUCCGGCCUAUUAAUCCGAUUCACGGUGCAGCGAAGAUCUUUGCCAAAGCAUUGGCAGUGCGGCUUUCUCCUCUUUUACCAAAGAUUAUUGCACAUGCUCAGAGUGCCUUUGUCAGUAAAAGGAGCAUCCACGAGAACUUCAAGUUUGUUCGUGCUGCGGCUAGACGGAUUCACCAAAAGAAAGCAAAGGCAGUCCUGAUGAAGAUAGACAUCUCAAAGGCCCCAGACUCGCUCUCGUGGGAAUUCCUCGUCGAGGUCCUUCAGAAAAGAGGCUUUGGAAGGAAGUGGAUUUCCUAGAUUUGUGGUCUGCUACGGACCGCCUCAACAUCGGUUCUCAUCAACGGCACUGUAAGCGAGCCUUUCAUGCUGGGUUGCGGAGUCAGACAAGGCGAUCCCAUUUUGCCGGCCCUGUUCAUCAUCGCGAUGGACGCACUCCACGCCAUGAUGGAAUGGGCUAAAUAG
rnacentral:rRNA from 1 species